rnacentral:lncRNA from 1 species
UGUGUGAAAACCCUAACAAUCACAAUCCUGUUAUUGAUAGUCGUAGAUCAAAUUGUAUUUGUCCGAUACAAAAGCAUAAUAACAUCACACAAUUGAAUUGAAAUAUGUAACAAGGUAAUAAGGAAAUCAUUUAUUCAAAUUCAUAACAUACGAUCAAAUCAGGACCACCCCCCUAACAUAGGGGGUUUAGCCUCUCAUAGUAUUCAAAGAAAUCAUAGUAUAGAAAUUAAACAUUACAA